rnacentral:pre_miRNA from 1 species
UGUUAAAAAAUUUACUUAUUUGUAUUGUUAAAAACUAGCAUGCCUAACCAAACAAUCAUAUAAUGACACAUGGCGUGCCAUAUGCACAUGCACAUGAUGUUGACAUAUAGAGACUAGUUUUUAAAAGUAAAAAUAGAUGAGUUUUUUAAUA